GAGCACUUGUUGUGCUUUCAGCCCUUGCACGUUGGAAGCCUAGCGUUGUAGUCAUCACCUUCACGUCGUCUCCAACUACACAGAAAAUACCACCGAGCACUGCUCAUCACCCGGUUGUUCUUCCUCUCACUCCACCCACGCACGAAAGGGCCACCGCUGCACCUACCUCUAGGUAUGCCUCAACCGUAUCACCCAUUUCGUGUUUUCAUAGUUUUCAAAAUAGCACGUAGAGUUUUUUUUAAACAAAUUUUGUUGCCCUCCCGUAAGGCUUAUCUUGAAGAAUGAGUUUCUAUGAAAUUAUAAUUUUUCUCUCUUAGUUUUAGAAACCAAACAUGGGGGGUUUGGUUUUAAAAGCUGGUUGAAUUUACUUUGGGUUUAAUUAUAACCGAAUGGUAUUUUCAUGGGUUUCAAUUUAUUCUUUGAACUUGUUUUAAGUUUUCUUCAUUUCAUCGUGGGCGUUGUUUUAAAUUUCCAGUGUGUGGAGAAAAUAUUUGUAGUUAAAUUAUACUAUUGAAUACUAUUUGCUACAGCUAGAUUUUAGUAGUAAUUAGUAACUGUAUAUUUUAUUUUGAACAGUACUUUAUUUUUGACCUAGUACAUUUUUUAUUUUUUAAAUGAAACUUUGUUGCUUACUUUAAUAGAUUUUUAAUUAAUGAUAUGUUUUAAUAUUAAUUUCACAUGUUGAUUUUAGUAACAAUAGUAAAUGCUUAGUCUUGCGUUAAACGAUUUAAUUUGAUGAAGUCUUUUUUUUUUUUAUAAACGAGUUUAAAUAAUUUAUUCGAUAGAUUUUACUACUACAUCAGUAUUCUUUUAGUUCUGUUUUUAAUCAGAAUAUUUUAUUCGGGUAUCUUUUCAAUAUGAAUUGGAUUGAGUGGCUUUGAUGGUUUAGGAAAUGGUGGUAUUUGUGAGGUCAUGAGAAUUUAGGUUUUUGAGAAAUUAAAAUAGGUAUUUCAGGCUUAAAUACGUUAUAAUUGUUCAUUUGGAAGUUUAUUCAAGUUAUAUAAAUUUUAUAGGUGACGAUUGAUUAUUCUUUUGGCACUAUUGUGAGGAAUUUAUGGAAGACUAAAAAGUUCAGGAGAGCCAUAUUAGACUUUACAAAAAAAGAAAAUGAAACCAGAUUGAUUUUGAAAAAUAUGCACGUUUAUUUUUAAAAGAAAUGUGAAAAAUAAUCUCAAUUAUUUGUUUUGGCAUUAUUUCAUGAACUCUGUAGGAAGGAUAUGGUACUUUUGUCAUGACUAGUGUAGACAUGAGCUUAUUUUUGCAUAUUGUUUAUGAAAUUUGUAAAAAGAGCAAAAAUGAGAUUCUUAAAGUUUGUUGUGGUUAAGAUGAAGAUACUUUGAUUUUGUUCUGUUGAAUAUAUGAAAUGAUCUGAAACUACUCAGUAUUUUUUUAUGAUAUGAUUUGUAAGCUGAAAAACCUUUAGCAUGACUUUCUAAUUAUGAAUUUGAAUAUGUUUAUGCUCUGUUUGGUUACGGCCCAACCACAGGUAAUAAUAGUGGUUGGGCGUAAUAGUGGAUACGGCCCAACCACGUGUUAUAAUAGUGGAUACGGCCCAACCACGGGUUAUAAUUGUAGAUACAACCCAACCACUGGUACUAACAGUGAAUACGGCCCAACCAUGGGUUAUAAUAGUGGAUAUGGCCCUUCCACGAGUUAUAGUAGUGAUCUCUGUUUGAGUGCACACCUUGGUGACAGAGUGAUUAUGUUAUGCUUGGUUAUCCGUAAAUGCACAACCCUACCAUGGGGGUUAUACAUGAACUCUAUUUUGAUAUGAUGUUAUGAUGUAAUAGUAUGAUAUGAUGAUGAUGAUGAUUAUCAUUUAUACUAUGCCAAAGGAUUGUUUUUGAAUAAGAUUGUUUCUGAAAGUUUCGCUCUGAUAUUUUGAUACAUGUUUUGCACUCUAAAAACAAGUGUUCUGAUUUUAACAUUCUGGAGGUAAAUGUUUUUUUUUUUUUUUUGCGCAUUCUGAACUCUAUAAAUACUAGUGUUUACACCCUAGUAUAUGUUCUUUGCUUACUGAGUUAUUGAUAACUCACCCCUUAUCUCCACAAUAUUUUUCAGCUAAUUUUGAUACUUCAGCCGGGAGUCAAGAGUAGGAAUUGUUAAUAGAUUUGAUGAUAAUUGAGGAAUAAGUGCAAGAGGGUACAAGUAGUUAUUGGGGAGUUUUAUUUAAUAGAUUUAUCAUUUAUGUUAUUCUGGUGUUUUGAGUAACGGAUAGUUAUGAAUGGUUGUGGAGAUUUUAAUUUAUUUUGUUGAGGUAUUACUUUAGUAUCUUGAUGGAAGAACAAUUACACUUGAUUCAAAUAAAUGAAUUUAUUAUUA